AAGUGAGCGGUAAGACCGUUGUAGGUUCCUCUGGUGUUCCCUUCCAUAGGUUGGCUAAGCCAGGGGGCACGCACCUGCAGGGCACGCUCUUUU
rnacentral:sRNA from 1 species